UGGGUAACCUGCCUCAAAGAGGGGAAUAGCCUCCCGAAAGGGAGAUUAAUACCGCAUAAUAUGUUUAGGUCGCAUGACUUUAACAUCAAAGGAUUUUCUUUAGAAAUUCCACUUUGAGAUGGACCCGCGGCGCAUUAGCUAGUUGGUGAGGUAACGGCUCACCAAGGCAACGAUGCGUAGCCGACCUUAGAGGGUGAUCGGCCACAUUGGAACUGAGACACGGCCCAGACUCCUACGGGAGCAG
rnacentral:rRNA from 1 species